AAACCAACAGGGAUUGCCUUAGUAACGGCGAGUGAAGCGGCAAAAGCUCAAAUUUGAAAUCUGGCACCUUCGGUGUCCGAGUUGUAAUUUGAAGAAGGUAACUUUGGAGUUGGCUCUUGUCUAUGUUCCUUGGAACAGGACGUCACAGAGGGUGAGAAUCCCGUGCGAUGAGAUGCCCAAUUCUAUGUAAAGUGCUUUCGAAGAGUCGAGUUGUUUGGGAAUGCAGCUCUAAGUGGGUGGUAAAUUCCAUCUAAAGCUAAAUAUUGGCGAGAGACCGAUAGCGAACAAGUACAGUGAUGGAAAGAUGAAAAGAACUUUGAAAAGAGAGUGAAAAAGUACGUGAAAUUGUUGAAAGGGAAGGGCUUGAGAUCAGACUUGGUAUUUUGCGAUCCUUUCCUUCUUGGUUGGGUUCCUCGCAGCUUACUGGGCCAGCAUCGGUUUGGAUGGUAGGAUAAUGACUAAGGAAUGUGGCUCUACUUCGGUGGAGUGUUAUAGCCUUGGUUGAUACUGCCUGUCUAGACCGAGGACUGCGUCUUUGACU
rnacentral:rRNA from 1 species